rnacentral:rRNA from 1 species
AUGGCUCAGGAUGAACGCUGGCGGCGUGCUUAACACAUGCAAGUCGAACGAAGCUCUGACGCGGAAAUCUCGGAUGGAAGCAGAGGAAGACUGAGUGGCGGACGGGUGAGUAACGCGUGGGUAACCUACCCUGUACAGGGGGACAACGGCUGGAAACGGCCGCUAAUACCGCAUAAGCGCACGGGACCGCAUGGUCAAGUGUGAAAAGCUCCGGCGGUACAGGAUGGACCCGCGUCUGAUUAGCUAGUUGGCGGGGCAGCGGCCCACCAAGGCGACGAUCAGUAGCCGGCCUGAGAGGGCGACCGGCCACAUUGGGACUGAGACACGGCCCAAACUCCUACGGGAGGCAGCAGUGGGGAAUAUUGCACAAUGGGCGCAAGCCUGAUGCAGCGACGCCGCGUGGACGAGGAAGUAUUUCGGUACGUAAAGUCCUAUCAGCAGGGAAGAAGAAAGACGGUACCUGACUAAGAAGCUCCGGCUAAAUACGUGCCAGCAGCAGC